rnacentral:rRNA from 1 species
UACGUAGGGACCAAGCGUUGUCCGGAAUCAUUGGGCGCAAAGAGCGUGUAGGCGGCUUGUUAAGUCUUGCGUGAAAUCUCGGGGCUCAACCCCGAGCGGUCGUGAGAAACUGGCAGGCUAGAGUGCGGGAGAGGAGAGUGGAAUUCCUGGUGUAGCGGUGAAAUGCGCAGAUAUCAGGAAGAACACCCGUGGCGAAGGCGGCUCUCUGGAGCGCAACUGACGCUGAGACGCGAAAGCGUGGGGAGCAAACAGG